CGGACGGGUGAGUAAUGUCUGGAAACUGCCUGAUGGAGGGGGAUAACUACUGGAAACGGUAGCUAAUACCGCAUAACGUCGCAAGACCAAAGAGGGGGACCUUCGGGCCUCUUGCCAUCGGAUGUGCCCAGAUGGGAUUAGCUAGUAGGUGGGGUAAAGGCUCACCUAGGCGACGAUCCCUAGCUGGUCUGAGAGGAUGACCAGCCACACUGGAACUGAGACACGGUCCAG
rnacentral:rRNA from 1 species